rnacentral:rRNA from 1 species
GACGAACGCUGGCGGCGUGCUUAACACAUGCAAGUCGAACGGAAAGGCCCUGCUUUUGUGGGGUGCUCGAGUGGCGAACGGGUGAGUAACACGUGAGUAACCUGCCCCUGACUCUGGGAUAACUUCAGGAAACUGGGGCUAAUACCGGAUAGGAGCUCCUGCUGCAUGGUGGGGGUUGGAAAGUUUCGGCGGUUGGGGAUGGACUCGCGGCUUAUCAGCUUGUUGGUGGGGUAGUGGCUUACCAAGGCUUUGACGGGUAGCCGGCCUGAGAGGGUGACCGGCCACAUUGGGACUGAGAUACGGCCCAGACUCCUACGGGAGGCAGCAGUGGGGAAUAUUGCACAAUGGGCGGAAGCCUGAUGCAGCAACGCCGCGUGCGGGAUGACGGCCUUCGGGUUGUAAACCGCUUUCGCCUGUGACGAAGCGUGAGUGACGGUAAUGGGUAAAGAAGCACCGGCUAACUACGUG